rnacentral:lncRNA from 1 species
UCAUUUUUCUUAUGUUUUUUUUCUCCAACCUUAUUAUCCACUACACGUCCGCUUCUUAAGGUAGUCAUGGCAUUGGCUUGUUCAUGGCGAACAUUAUUCGGGUGAGUCUCUUGAGCCAUGUACUGCCCUCUCGGGUUACUCACUGGUUGGCUUGGAAGCUUGCCUUCCUCUCUCUUAUUCAGCGCACUAGCUAGCUGUCCUAGCUGGAUUUCUAAUUUGGCAAUAGACUGGGUAUGGGAGUGCAACAAUUGUGUAUUGGCUUCGAGUCCUUGAAGGGCAGUCAAAACUUUUUGCUCAAAAGCCAUAUCUCUUUAGGGUGCUGGAAGAGAGACAUGUUGAAAUUGUGAAUAGUGAGUAGGAGGACGGUUCGGAUGAACAUUCUGGAAUGGUUGAAAGUUUUGGAAA